GCGGACGGGAGAUCCAUCAUGGCGGCGCCCGGUCACUGAGGAAAACUAUUGUUUUGACUUUUUUUUUAAACUUUUUUCUAACACAAACUCCAACCCCAUACGUCGAUCACUAACCGGAAUACUUUCACCACAUACUGGAGGAGUUAGCAGACCUAGAGGAAUAUAUCGACCACUCCUACAACAGCUGCAACAUGGACAACAACCCGCAGGAAUCACCGACCCAAACACAUGGAGAAAAAACCUCAGACACAGACACAGAUGAUCUGCAAUCAUGAUGACAGAAGUCCAGGUCUGAGCUGGGCCUUGUAUGCCGGGCUACUGGGGGGGAAUCCUCAUCACACUCGGGUCACGGUUCCCGGGGCGACUGUCUGCAGAGUCUCCACCUGAAAAGCAGACACACCGGGGCUCCAUCGGUCUCAGAGGAGUCACCUGCACCAAGGAACAUGGACUGACCAUCAGAACGGUCAACCCCUCCUACAAGAUGCUUCUGUUGUGGUUGUGUAACCACAUUAACCACAUUCUGUGAGGCAACAGUACUAACCACUAAGCCACCGCUAUAAAGAUUUUAAAACAGAUGAAGAGUUUUGAAGGAAGUCAAAAUAAAGUGACCAACAAGAGAAAGGAAAGGUUUAAAGGAAAUCUCUUUUGGUGGCAUCAAUUAAUACUCUAGCGUCUAUAUUUUGGCUAAGUAUUUUCAAGGAAACAUCUAAAAUGGCUUUGCAGUUGUCUAGCCUGAUGUACUUAAUAUGUAAGGCAGUUUUAUGAUAUGGUUAUUAGAAAAGAUGGUUCUGAUAAAUACAUUUGCUCUAGAGACCGAGUAACGGAGACCCGGUGGUUCCAUUACUUUUUAUCCAAUUGUACAAUUAUUAGUUUGACUGGUAAAGAACAAUAUCUUUUUAAUUUACGCACAGUGGUAUUUGUGUUCAUCGAAGGGUAUGGAUGUUUUCAAUGUAACUGUGCUGAUUGGGAGAGGGGGACUGCAUUCUGCCUGUCUUUUUAGCUAUUCGUCAAACUAUUUGGAUGUAUAAGAUCAAUAUGUGAGAGUAGAAGUCACCACUUCCUGGUUGUCGUCUUGGCAGAGUCGGAGAGGCAAAAGAGCAAUGUGUCAGACUACCUGAUUAAAAGCUACUGGAGCGAACCGUGACCAUGCGGAGAGUUGGAGGAUGAGUGAUCAUUUAGAUUAUGUGUUAUUGAAGUCCUCAUGAUAGUGAGUGUGUACAUUCAUAUAUAUAUAUUUAUUCUUUACGUUUCAUUUACGUGAUGUGGGGUUUGUGUAAAUGUAUUGUGUUGUAUUCUGGCCCAUCCUCGAUCAAGUGCCCACUUAAGAGGGUUUCAAAGGGAGUUGUCUGCUCUUACGAGAGAGAUGCUGUUGUAGCAAAUGUUAGGUGUGGUCACGCCCAAUAAAUGUAACUCUUGGAGCUUCAAA